AUUGAACGCUGGCGGCAUGCCUUACACAUGCAAGUCGAACGGCAGCACGGGUGCUUGCACCUGGUGGCGAGUGGCGAACGGGUGAGUAAUACAUCGGAACGUACCUUAUCGUGGGGGAUAACGCAGCGAAAGUUGCGCUAAUACCGCAUACGCCCUGAGGGGGAAAGCGGGGGACCGUAAGGCCUCGCGCGAUUAGAGCGGCCGAUGUCUGAUUAGCUUGUUGGUGAGGUAAAAGCUCACCAAGGCGAUGAUCAGUAGCUGGUCUGAGAGGACGAUCAGCCACACUGGGACUGAGACACGGCCCAGACUCCUACGGGAGGCAGCAGUGGGGAAUUUUGGACAAUGGGGGCAACCCUGAUCCAGCAAUGCCGCGUGAGUGAAGAAGGCCUACGGGUUGUAAAGCUCUUUUGUCAGGGAAGAAACAGCAGCUCUAACACGGUCUGCGAAUGACGGUACCUGAAGAAUAAGCACCGGCUAACUACGCGCCAGCAGCCGCGGAAA
rnacentral:rRNA from 1 species